AAUGAACGCUGGCGGUAGGCCUAACACAUGCAAGUCGAACGGCAGCACAGUAAGAGCUUGCUCUUACGGGUGGCGAGUGGCGGACGGGUGAGGCAUACAUCGGAAUCUACUUUUUCGUGGGGGAUAACGUAGGGAAACUUACGCUAAUACCGCAUACGACCUACGGGUUAAAUCAUGGGAGCUUCGGACCUUGCGCGUUUGAAUGAGCUGAUGUCGUAUUGGCUUGGUGGCGGGGUAAAGGCCCACCAAGGCGACGAUCCGUAGCUGAUCUGAGAGAAUGAGCAGCCACAGUGGAACUAAGACACGGUCCAGACUCCUACGGGAGGCAGCAGUGGGGAAUAUUGGACAAUGGGCGAAAGCAUGAUGCAGCGAUGCCGCGUGGGUGAAGAAGGUCUUCGGGUUGUAAAGCGCUUUUGUUGGGAAAGAAAAGCAGUAGGUUAAUCCCCCGCUGUUCUGACGGUACCCAAAGAAUAAGCACCGGCUAACUUCGUG
rnacentral:rRNA from 1 species